AUUGAACGCUGGCGGCAGGCCUAACACAUGCAAGUCGAGCGGAUGAGUGGAGCUUGCUCCAUGAUUCAGCGGCGGACGGGUGAGUAAUGCCUAGGAAUCUGCCUGGUAGUGGGGAACAACGUUUCGAAAGGAACGCUAAUACCGCAUACGUCCUACGGGAGAAAGCAGGGGACCUUCGGGCCUUGCGCUAUCAGAUGAGCCUAGGUCGGAUUAGCUAGUAGGUGAGGUAAUGGCUCACCUAGGCGACGAUCCGUAACUGGUCUGAGAGGAUGAUCAGUCACACUGGAACUGAGACACGGUCCAGACUCCUACGGAGGCAGCAGUGGGGAAUAUUGGACAAUGGGCGCAAGCCUGAUUCAGCCAUGCCGCGUGUGUGAAGAAGGCCU
rnacentral:rRNA from 1 species